rnacentral:rRNA from 1 species
AAUUUAAGCAUAUUAAUGAGGGGAGGAAAAGAAACUAACAAGGAUUUUCUUAGUAGUGGCGAGCGAAAAGAAAUCAGUUCAGCACUAAGUCACAUUAUUAUUUUGAUAAUUGUGAAAUGCAGUGUUUGGUAUAUAUAAAUUCUAGUAUGAAAAAUUAAUGAAUUAAGUCCUUCUUAAAUGAGGCCAUUUACCCAAAGAGGGUGCCAGGCCCGUAUAACAUUAAUGAUUAUUAGAAUAUAUAUCCAAAGAGUCGUGUUGCUUGAUAGUGCAGCACUAAGUUGGUGGUAAACUCCAUCUAAAACUAAAUAUAUCCAUGAGACCGAUAGCAAACAAGUACCGUGAGGGAAAGUUGAAAAGAACUCUGAAUAGAGAGUUAAAUAGUACGUGAAACUGCUUAAAGUUUAAACCCGAUGAAUCUGAAUAUCCAAUAUAAAGAAUUCAGCAUUAUAUGACAAUAAAUAUAUAUUGUAAUAAUGUGCAUUUUCUUUAUAUAUUACAUGGACAUUGUAAUUUAUUAAUAUUUAUACUUAUUAAUUUAUCAAAAGAUUAUAUGGCAUUUGUUUAAUUUAAUUAAUAUUUAUAUUAAAAUAAAUUAAAAGCUUUUAUAAUUGGAUAAAGUAUUAAUAAAUUUUAUAUAUAAAGCAUUUAUUUCUUUAUGGGAAAUAUAUAAAAAUAUAAUAGAAAAUUUAUUUUCUAUUAUAUUUAUUUAUAUGCAUUUAUAUGAUUUACAAUGCGAAAGAUUCAGAAUACCUUCGGGACCCGUCUUGAAACACGGACCAAGGAGUCUAACAUAUGUGCAAGUUUUUGGGUAAUAUAUAAUAAUACCUAAAAGCAUAAUUAACAUAACUUUUUAUAUAUGGGAUUAAUAUAAAUUUUAUAUAUUUAUAUUCAAUCCUGGGGCGUUCUAUAUAGUUAUAUUUAAUAUAUAUGGUAACAUAUUAUUUUAUAUUUAACUAGAGCGUACCUUGAGCAAAUAUGCUGUGACCCGAAAGAUGGUGAACUAUACUUGAUCAGGUUGAAGUCAGGGGAAACCCUGAUGGAAGACCGAAACAGUUCUGACGUGCAAAUCGAUUGUCAGAAUUGAGUAUAGGGGCGAAAGACCAAUCGAACCAUCUAGUAGCUGGUUCCCUCCGAAGUUUCCCUCAGGAUAGCUGGUGCAUAAUUAAUAAUCAUAUCUGGUAAAGCGAAUGAUUAGAGGCCUUAGGGUCGAAACGACCUUAACCUAUUCUCAAACUUUAAAUGGGUAAGAACCUUACCUUUCUUGAUAUGAAGGUGAGGUUAUGAUAAUAUGUGCCCAGUGGGCCACUUUUGGUAAGCAGAACUGGCGCUGUGGGAUGAACCAAACGUAAUGUUACGGUGCCCAAAUUAGCAACUCAUACAGAUACCAUGAAAGGCGUUGGUUGCUUAAAACAGCAGGACGGUGGACAUGGAAGUCGUAAUCCGCUAAGGAGUGUGUAACAACUCACCUGCCGAAGCAACUAGCCCUUAAAAUGGAUGGCGCUUAAGUUGCAUACCUAUACAUUACCUCUAAUGUAUAUGAUUAAUAUUAUAAAAUAAUAUAAUCUUAAAACAUUAGAGAGUAGGAGGGUACAAUGGUGUGCAUUGAAGUGUUUGGCGUGAGCCUACAUGGAGCCGCUAUUGGUACAGAUCUUGGUGGUAGUAGCAAAUAAUCGAAUGAGAUCUUGGAGGACUGAAGUGGAGAAGGGUUUCGUGUGAACAGUGGUUGAUCACGAGUUAGUCGGUCCUAAGUUUAAGGCGAAAGCCGAACAUUUUCAAGUAAUAUAAUAAUAAUAAUAAUAAUAAUACACUUGAAAAUCUUUUGAACGAAAGGGAAUACGGUUCCAAUUCCGUAACCUGUUGAGUAUACGUUUGUUAUUAAAUAUGGGCUUAAUUGCUCAUCCUGGUAACAGGAACAACCAUAAAGAAGCUGUCGAGAAAUAUCGGAAGAGUUUUCUUUUCUGUUUUAUAAUCGUAUUACCAUGGAAGUCUUUCGAAGAGAGAUAUGGUAAAUGGAUUAGAAGAGCAUGACAUUUACUGUUGUGUCGAUAUCUUCUCCUCGGACCUUGAAAAUUUAUGGUAGGGUUACGCAAACUUCUCAACAGACCGUACCGAUAUCCGCAGCUGGUCUCCAAGGUGAAGAGUCUCUAGUCGAUAGAAUAAUGUAGGUAAGGGAAGUCGGCAAAUUAGAUCCGUAACUUCGGGAUAAGGAUUGGCUCUGAAGAUUGAGAUAAUCGGGCUUGAUUGGAAAACAAAAUAUGGUUAUGUACUCGUUCUGGGUAAAUAAAAAUUUUUAUAAUUUUGUUCCCCGGAUAGCUAGUUUAAUGUAACCAAUUGUGGAACUUUCUUGCUAAUAUUAAAUUAUGAAUAUAAUUAUCUUAUAUGAUUUUUAUUAUUCAUUUUUAAUUAUAACGAUUAUCAAUUAACAAUCAAUUCAGAACUGGCACGGACUUGUGGAAUCCGACUGUCUAAUUAAAACAAAGCAUUGUGAUGGCCCUAACGG